rnacentral:misc_RNA from 1 species
UUAUUAACAUAAAGCGUGCUGCCAUUUUGGAUUGUAAAGGGAACAAAGACGCGUCAGAAGAGUCCAAACCAUUCCUUAUCAAUAUGUCGGAAAAAACAGCAGCAAAACCUGCCACGCCUGCUAAGAAAGAACUAACAGAUACCAAGACCCCAACGCCGAACAAAAAUAAGCCCCAACAGGAUGGUAACAUCAACAAACAUCAAGAACAGAACAGAAGCCGCGGCGGUGGUGGCGGCGGUGACCGAGGUGGACAUGGUGGACCCCAACGCCGUGGUGGCGGAGGAGGAGGAGGUCGGGGACGUUUCAACAAUAAUCGUAACUUUUCUCAGGGUGGCGACCGUCAUUCUAAUAUGGGACACAAAAAUCAGCCACCACAAGAUACGGACCACAACGAAGAUGGACCAAAAGAAGAUCCGAAAUUCACAGGAAGAUGUCGUCUUUUUGUCGGAAACCUGACACCUGAUAUUACUGAAGAAGAGUUCAGGGGGAUGUUCACUAAAUUUGGUGAAAUAUCAGAACUCUUUGUCAACGGCGCCAAAGGAUUUGGGUUCAUUCGCAUGGACUACAGAAACAAUGCUGAAGCAGCAAAGGCAGCUUUGGAUGGAACACAGAGAAAGGGUCGCAGUCUGAGAGUACGAUUUGCAAACCAUGGAGCUGCUAUCCGAGUCAAGAAUCUGUCUCCAUUUGUAUCUAAUGAACUGAUGUACCAGUCUUUUUCCCAGUUUGGUGACAUUGAAAGGGCCAUUGUUUGUGUGGAUGAUAGAGGGAGGUCUUCUGGAGAGGGAAUUGUAGAGUUUGCCAGAAAACCAGGUGCCAGCCAAGCUAUGAAGAGAAUCAAUGAAGGAGUUUUCCUUAUGUCUUCGUACCCAAGACCUGUUUUUGUGGAGCCUUUGGAACAGAAGGAUGAAGAAGAUGGUCUUCCAGAAAAAUUCUUGCCGAGAAAUGAACAUUGCAGAAAAGACAGAGAAAAGGAGCCUAGGUUUGCUCCACCAGGAUCUUUUGAAUACAGAUUUGCACAAAGGUGGAAGGAAUUGGAUGAACUGGAGAAACAGCAGCAUGAAAGAGUGAAGCAAGAAAUGGAAGAUGCAAGAAUCAAGUUGGAGGCAGAGAUGGAGGGUGCGAUGUAUGAGUACCAAGCUGAACAAAUCAGAGCAGACUUGGUAAGACAGCAAGAAGAACUCCAAAGAAUUGAAGAAAUGAGACAGGAACAGAUGAGGCGUAGACAAGAAAUGGACAUGCGUAAUGACACUUAUUUCAGGCGUCAGGAGGAUAGCAGGAUGGUUAGAGAAGAAGAAGAAAGACGCAGAGAGAUGAUAAUGAGGGGAGAAGGAAGUGGUAUGAGAGGAGGAAGAGGGCCAAUGGACAGUCACCGAAGCAGUCAGAUGGAACAGCAAGGAGGACUGAGAGGCGAAGGAAUGCGAGGUGAUGGUAUGCGUGGUGAAGGCUUGCGCGGUGAAGGUAUGAGGGGUGAAGGACAACGUGGGCGCUCUGGAGUACCCCCACCUGUUCCACCACCUCCAGCCCCUCCUGCUGCCAUGGGCAUUGAAAAUAGGCAACAGAAUGAGGGAUCCAUAGUAAGUGGAUUUGGAGGAUCUGGUGGAAAUGUUGGAGGAGGUGGAGGUGUAGGCGGCAGCCAAGGGUCGAUGCAAGGUCAAAGCCAGGGAAUGGGAGGUCAAGGCCAGGGAAUGAUGAUUGCAUGCUGUGGAUGAGGAACAACCACUAUGUCCUUGGAAAGACUUCAAUAACAUUGACUGGAAGGCAUCUGGUGGUGAUGAAAGGCUCGCUCAGUAUGCCCCAUAUACUCAAGCUAAGGAUGGUACCAGUGUUGGCCAUCCUCAAGUGAAAGGCUGGAUGCAUGUGUGAAUAUGGACAUGGUCAAAUUACACUGAUCUUGACAUGCAGGACAAUUUAAUAAGCUCAACAAAGAAGUGGGAAAGAUGAUCCUUAGAUCUAUCGGGAGGUGAAAGGAAGACUUGGAGAAAACUUUUGGAACUCCAUUGGACAAUGAGAUAUUUUGAAUUUGUGACCAUUGAAUUUGAUGGAAUAAAAGGAAUUAAAAAUAAAGACUCUUUACUGAUA